UGAAGGACCCAACCCAACUCCCGUCUCUGUGUGUGUCUCAAAACACAUGAAAGUUGCUGAUUCCAAGCUCCAUCGUCAAUAACAUGAGAUCCCCCUCUUCUUCUUCUUCUUCAAUUUCCUCGUCACAAUUGUGGGGCUGUUUCUUUGUCACAAUCGGUUCAGUCUUCUUCGUGGGAUUUCUCUUCGCCGCCGUUAUAUCCAAGCUCCUCCCUCCAUCGCAUAACGCUCUAAUUUCCUCCAUCCAAAACGACUGGUAUUACUGCUUCUUAGUGCCCUUGACUCUUCCUGUCCUUGUGGUUGCUGUUUAUUUCCAUUGGAUCAGCAUGAAAUUAUUCAAGCACGCAUGACUUUGUCUUGAGCUCAUCACGUUGAAUUCCAGAACCUCUGGUCCUCCCUGCUUAAUUAUACUACUUUUAGAGAAGAACAAGGAACUAAAAGGUGUGUCUGAUUAAUUGCCUUGACAAAGUACAUAGCAGCCGAGGCUGCCUUGGCAGUUGAAGGUCGUGGAGACCUGCAAGUUAUACAACCUUCCAAUUUGUCUCUACCCUUUUGGCAUAUGACCUGGCAUUUUGCCAAACAUAUGUAUUGAUAGAACAUUGCCUUUUAUUGAAAAUGACCUGCUCAUUUUUUACACUCACAAUAGUCUUGUAAUUUCCUUCCUACCCUACCUCAGAAAAGCAAAAUCUGCUUUCAAAUUGUCAUUCCAUUAUUGCCCCUGAGCAUUGUCCAAUGAUGUAGGAGUAACUGGAUCAUCAACUUUUAGAUGGAAUUCCACAACUUGGGUCUUAGCGAUAAUUACUGCAUAAGAAUAAUGGCUAGGAGGAGGAUUGAAAGCCAUUAUGGCGCUAUUUAGAGAAUUAGAGUUCUGUUGUUUCUGUCUCUGUAUUAUGUAUAGUUGUAAUUUAUUGGCUUUUCACAUGGAGAUUGUGCAUUAGGACAAACCUUAUCAAAUCCAUGUUCAAAUUAGAUUGAAAUUAAACCAUAUUCCUUUUCACUGCCAAUUUGAACUCAUCCCCUUUCCCUUCCCUUUUCUCUCAAGCAUCAAACCGCAUUGAUUUAAUUUGAUUAGAAAUUUAGAAUGGAGAAUAAACUGAUCAAAGUAUACUCAUACAUAUAACACUAUGGUUUGAAGGAAGUUUAGUCAUUUUCUUUCUAUCAAGUUCAGAGCUUCACUUCACUUGCGGCACCUACUUCAGAAAUAUAUUGUUGCAACAGCAUAAACAAUGUCGCCAAUUUACAAGUGAUUGCCAGCUUCCAUAUUAAUAGAAGAGGAUUGGAGCAAUUCUUUCUUUAUGGAGUAUAUUAUUAGGUUAAUGUGUUUAAUCUACUGCCUUAUAUCAGUGGAAAUCAGGUUGUGGAAGAGAGCUAGUCGGUUGCAAAACUAUACUCUCUCCAUGUACAUAGGCUGUGACCUUUAUAGCACCUUUUUUUUAUAUUACUCAUCAAAUAGAAGAAACUGCAGAUUCUCCAAUAUAAUCAUUUGAUUCAUUGUUUCGUAUCAA